UAUUAGCAACGUGGACUUCUUGCAAAGUGAAAAUUUUACCCUACACCCUAGUGUAGGGUGUGUUCCCUACACCCCCCCUAUGCUACGUCGUUUUGUAGCUGGUAUUGAGUUCCCUUUUGCGAUUCUUUCCUUUUUUUUUUUUUUUUUUCCUUUUUUUCUUUUUUUCUUUUCUUCCUCUUUUUUCCUUUUUCCUUUGAUUCUUAUUAUUCAAUUUAUGUAUAUAUAUGAUUUUAAACCCUAUUUUUUCUCUCUCUUCAAUUGAUCAACCAACCUCCAUUUUUGAUCUACAUUUUUCUCUCGCUAAUUCAUCUUCUUCAUUUGAUUUUUUGAACGAAUUCGUUAAUUGUUACCGAUCAUCAAUGGCGAAUUCUGCAUCUGGAGAUUGCGUUGAUUUUGAUCGCGAUUGCGAGCGUGUGUUUCCUUCUGGACUUCGUUUCGUUGAUUCGUUUGUGCAACAAUUGGAAAAAAAUGAUGAUAUUAUGUAUUUAGAAGCAGAACAGUCUGAAUUAAAGGAUAAAGAAUUUAAAUCUGAAGAUGAAGCUUUCGAAGCGUAUAAUGAAUAUGCUUUUAGGAAAGGUUUUGGAAUUCGAAUUGGGAAGAGUAAGAGAAGAAGAGAUGAUUCUUUUUUGAUGAAAAGAUUUGUUUGUUGUAAUGAGGGAUUCAAAGAUAAUAAGUGUAAGAAUAAAAGGAUUUAUGAGAAGUUGGAUCAUCGAACUGGUUGUUUAGCUUUUGUGCAGUUUCAUAUUGAUCAUUUAGGGGUCUAUACAUGUACAAGACAUGAAAUGGUUCAUAAUCAUGCUAUGAUUCCUCCUGAAAAAAGGCAUUUGAUAAGGUCUCAAAGAGAUGUGAAUAAAGAGCAGCUUCUUUUCAUUUCAACAAUGAAAUUGAGUGGAGUCAAAGUUACUGAUUCUUUGAGGGUUCUAAAGAAGGAGGUUGGGGGAUCUCCUAAUCUUUGUUUUACUGCUUCUGAUGCUUAUAAUGCAUUGUCAUCUGAAAAAGCUGCCCAAAUUGAAGGAUGUGAUGGUAACCAAUUGAUUAAAUAUUUUGCCAAGAGACAUGUGGAUGAGACAGAUUUUUAUUAUGAUUUUGAACAAGAUGAUAGUGGUGCUUUAGUUAGUUUUUUUUGGCGUGAUGGUAGGAUGAUGAGAGAUUAUCAUUACUUUGGAGAUUUGUUGGUUUUUGAUACAACUUAUAGAACUAAUAAAUAUGGAAUGAUAUGUGCUCCAUUUGUUGGGAUGAACCAUCAUGGUAACAAUGUCAUGUUUGGUAUGGGUUUUAUUCUUAAUGAGCGCACCGAGUCUUUUGAUUGGUUGUUUGAUACAUUUUUGCACUCAAUGGGGAGGAAAAGUCCCAUUACAAUUAUGACUGAUCAAGCACAAGCGAUUGCAGCGGGUAUAAGAAACAUUUUUCCUUCAACUGUUCAUCAUCGUUUAUGUGUAUGGCAUCUUGAACAAAAUUCUAAGAAACACAUUGGAGCAUUGAGAGCUUUGGAAGGCUUUACAGAUUUGUUUGGAUAUCUUUUGAAGUAUUGUGAAACUCCUGCUGAAUUUGAAUAUUUCUGGAAAAGGAUGUGUGAUAAAUACAAAUGUGAAAAUGAUGAUUGGUUAUGUGAUUUGUAUAAAAUAAAGGAAAUGUGGUGUCCUGCUUAUUCUAAGAAGUAUUGGUCUGGUGGUAUAUUGUCUUCUCAACGUAGUGAAACUACUAAUAAGUCAGUUUCACAACGUCUUAAUAAGACUCAAGGUUUAUGUGAUUUUUAUCAUGUUUUUCUUGAUGUCAUUUCUGAGUGGAGAAGUAAGGAAGGUGCAAGAGAUUACAAUACUCUGAGGGGUAAUAGGCACCUAGCUUUUGCUAAUAUUGGUAUAUUAGAUCAUGCAAGAUCAUUGUACACUAUUCAAGCUUAUGUUCUUUUUGAAGAGGAGUUCAUUAGGGGGACAGCUUAUGAUCAUGUUGAUAAUGGUUUGCGUUUUCCAGAAUAUUCAUAUCUUCUUUGGAGGCCUGGGAAGGAUAUAAUUAAGCAUGAAGUUGUUUUUAAUAAGGAAACACAUGCAAUUUGUUGCACAUGCAUGUACUUUAGUGAGACUGGUUUACUUUGUUCUCAUUCUCUUCGAGUAUAUCAUUUGCAUUGUGUGCGUAAUAUUCCACAAGAGUAUAUAAUGAAACGAUGGACAAAGGCUGCCAUGUGUAGUCAUGGUAUUGAAGAACCUACUUUGAGGACAAAUGUUGUGGCUACUAGUGUUUGGAGGUCACAAACAAUCAGAAAGUUUGUUAAGUUGAUAACAAGUUGUCAGAAUUCUUUGAAUGCAAGGGCAGAGGUUGAGUGUUAUUUCAAUCUGUUAAAAGAAAAGGUUGAGAGUGUAUCAGGUGUAAUUGACUUUAGUGAACCUGUUAAAGAUGUUGAAAUUGUUGAUCUUGAGAUCAAGAAUCCUCCAAAAGUUAGGCCUAAAGGUGAGAGGAAUGUAAGGCCUAAGAGUACCUUGGAGAAGCAGUGUAACAAGGCAAAGGGUAAUUUCAAGAGGAAAAAGUCUCUGUACACUCCUUACAAAAGGGGUAUAGGGCAAGCAGUUGUACAGGAACUUGAUGAGAACGGUUGUGCUGUUACUUAUGCUAAUUCUAUUAGUGAUCCCAUUGAAUUGAUUGUUUUGAGCAAUAAACGGGCUCAGGUAAAUUCAAAUGUGCCAAAAAAAACAUUUUAUUUAUAUUUUAUUAAUAUUGAUUUUUAUAAUUUAAAAAUAUAGGCCGGCUUAAAAUCAGCUGUUGUAGAAGAAAUUCCUUCUAGUUCUAAGGAAUCAAAUCAUAGUAUUUCCAAUGAUUUUGAUCAGGCUACUGGUGAAAGCUCUCUUUCAUCUAUCAUAUCUAUUGAUGUUGAUAUUUCAUCUAUUGCUAAGGUUUUUUUUUUUUCCAUAUUUGUUUGUAUAAGUGUUUGUAACUGAUCAUAUACUGGUUUAUUAAUGAUCAAUUUAAUUUUUUUUAAAGGCGAAGGAUUUAAAUCUUGAAGGUGUUUCUGCUGUUCAACCUUGUUCUAAUUUUGGUGCAAAUAAAGGUGCUUCUGGUGUUAAAACUUACUCUCAAAUUAAUCCAAGAGUUCCAAUUCA